rfam:Ailuropoda melanoleuca scaffold302_145, whole genome shotgun sequence.
CCAGCAUUUCCAGGUAGUCCAAGGUGUCCUACAAAAAAACCCUGGGUUAGACAUAUGGGGGUCUGG